UGUCCUGACAAGAUCCAGAUGGUGGCUCAGUAUCUGCUGGCUCACAUGGCCUGGAGGUGAAGGAGACGGGGUCAGAGGAACAGAGGCUGCGGGAUUGGAUUCUGGCAACUGCUCUCUAAAAAUUACUGCUUCUGGCAGCCACGCCCCUGCACGGGUCACGUGACUUACGAAGCCCAAUGGGAAGCCCCUGAUUGCCGCGUGAGGGAUUGUGGGAAAGCCUGCUGAGAGAGGCGGGAAUGACCAGGUGACUCCAGGCGCGUGAGCAGCGAGCACAUCUUAAGCCAUCCAGCCUCACCUGAUCUGGCCCAGUCCGGAACUGCUGGGCUGACCACGGACUCUUGAGAAAUAGGAAAUCGGAGCACAGAGGAGAGGCCAUAUGAGGACAUGGUGAGGUGGCCAUCUGCAAGCCGGGAAGAGAGAUCCUACCAGACACCAACCCUGCCAGCACUGUGAUCUUGAACUUCCAGCCUCCAGAAUUGCAUCUGGCAAAAAGCAGUUAAGAGUACACCACUGUCAGUCAUCUGGAAAUCCUUUCACUUUUAACCUUUCCGUGGCAUUUCACUGCAUGUGGGCUUUUCGUAAACAGCACUUAUGUGAGUACGGGGAGGGGAAGCCACUGCCCUUUGCUUGCUCUGACAUCUCCCCGGGAGGAGCUGCUGACCGCGCAGGCCAGAUUGCAGAUUGAUAAAUCCACUCUUCCUCAUCUUCCGCAUCCCCCCUGCCGUGUGGCAGGGUGGGGGUUGUGUGCCAGCUUCCCCUUCCUCGGCUCUCAUUUUCUGAUUCACCUGCUAUGGUGUGCCGGGUAGCUAUAUACAAUACAGAACACCCAGUUAAACUUGAAUUCCCGAUAAACAGUGACACUUUUUUAGUGCAAGUAUGUUCUAAAUAUUGCAUGGGAUAUGUUUAUGCUAAGUAAUUACUUGGUGUGUGUCUGAAAUUUGCAUUUAAAUGGGAAUCCAGUAUUUUUACUUGCUAUAUGUGGCAAUCUAGGUACUGGUGACUUUGUUCUAGGGGACCACUAGAAUAGCUGGCUGUCAGAUUUGGAUUUGGGUUUUCAUGGAACCUGUGGUUAGGGCUCACGCCCAAUCAUAAUAAUGUGGAAACUUGUUUACCAUUUUCCUUUGUUUCUGGAGAGUCUGUGCCUUGGGCACUUUGUAAGGAAGAGUGGAUGGCAGGGUGGGAUUUAGUGUUCCUGGGUCCUCUAGCAUGCUACCGUGGAACACUGGGAAAAUCUCACUUUUUGGUUAAAAAUUUGGAUUUUGGUUUUGGGUCCAUCCUGAGUCUUGAAUUUAAUCUGUGCACAUUUAUUGUGGCACCUAUUAUGUUCGGUCUUACUUCUGUCAUUUUGUUAGUGCUGUUGUUUUUAAUGAGCCAUGUUUUCUUGAGUCAGUUUUAUUUGUGGGUUAGAAGUCCUGCCUCUUUUAUUAAUUGUACCCAAGGUUACAAAAAUCUUGGAUUGCCCAUCAUAUGCUUUUCCUGCCUCUCACAUAUCUCAUGUCUUUGAAACAAUUUGGGAUAAAGAACCGCAUGACUAUGAUCAUGGUUAUUCAUAAUAAUUGACUACUGCUCAAAAUGAGACCCAAAGAAGGAAGGUGGCAGGGAGGAAACACCCCUACUUCUCUCUUGCCUUCCAGCCUCCACUACCAGAAGCCAGCCAACAAGGGUGUCCACAGAGCCAACCUUCAGGACACAGAGCAGGGUAGGAAAAUGGGUGGGUAGAGACUGGGGAUGAAGAGCUGGCACACCCUUCUAACUGAACAGAUGAGGAGAUGGAGGCCUAGACAGGGGAAGGACUUGCCGAAAGUCUCUUAGCAAUUGAAGGACAAAAUGAGGGCUUUACCCCCAGACCUCUUCAUUCCCAUAUUUGAUCUCAAAACUAUACUGCUUUUGGGCGCCUGGAUGGCUCAGUUGGUUAGGUGGCCGACUUUGGCUCAGGACACAAGUUCAAGCCCCGCGUCAGGCUCUGUGCUGACAGCUCAGAGCCUGGAGCCUGCUGCAGAUUCUGUGUGUCUCUUUGCCCCUCCCCUCCUCACGCUCUGUCUCUCUCUUUCU